rnacentral:ncRNA from 28 species
UCUCAUCAUUAUCAUUAAGGUGCCCCGGUAAAACGGGGAGAAUAGGGAACCAUGUGAAAAUCAUGGGCUGACGCGCAACUGUAAGCUGAUCACGGUUUACCGCUCAAUAUCCACUGUGCAAACGGGAAGGAUGGUAAAUUAUGCUAGCCAGGAGACCUGCCUUAAUUGAGCUUUGACAU